GCUGAUGUAGCUCAGUUGGUAGAGCAACUGAUUCGUAAUCAGUAGGUCACCAGUUCGAUUCCGGUCAUCAGCACCA
rnacentral:tRNA from 1 species